rnacentral:rRNA from 1 species
GACGAACGCUGGCGGCGUGCUUAACACAUGCAAGUCGAACGGAAAGGCCCUGCUUUUGUGGGGUGAUCGAGUGGCGAACGCGUGAGUAACACGUGAGUAACCUGCCCUUCACUUUGGGAUAACUUAAGGAAACUGGGGCUAAUCCCGGACAGGAUCUCCUGCUGCAUGGUGGGGGUUGGAACGUUUCGGCGGUUGGGGAUGGACUCGCGGCUUAUCAGCUUGUUGGUGGGGUAGUUGCUUACCAAGGCUUUGACGGGUACGCGGCCUGAGAGGGGGGCCGGCGACAAGAGGACUGAGAGAGGGACCAGACGCCAACGGUGGGCAGUAGGGGGGAAUAUGGUACAAUGGGCGGAAGCCGGAUGCAGAGACGCCGCGUUCGGGAUGACGGCCUGCUGGGUGUAAACAGCUGUCGGCUGUGACGAAGCGUGAGUGACGGUAAUGGGUAAAGAAGCACCGGCUAACUACGUG